GUCUACAGCCAUACCCCACUGAAGGUGGCUGAUCUCGUCUGAUCUCGGAAGCUAAGCAGGGUCGGGCCUGGUUAGUACUUGGAUGGGAGAAGAUGUAACUAAGCAAUUGUAGAAA
rnacentral:rRNA from 1 species